GCUUGAAAGCAAGUCAAGAACAGCUAAGUGAGCGAAGAGUAGGAAGAGCUCUCCCAGUUCACUAGAAAAUCACAGAGCUGAAGUCACUGAAAGAAUGCAUUAUAGAUUCUCAUGAAGAAAUUAGUGAUUGAAUAUCUGCAGACAAGAAGGGAAGGAAAUGAUUACUCAGAUUCGCUAAAAAGGACAGGAACGUUUGUCCAGAACUGUCUCAGACUUCAAGAAGUACUUAGUGGAAAGUGCUCUUCAUAUACCAGACUUUUUAUAUACCCAUAUAUGUGCAACUUGAACAUAGUUUUAAGAAUUCUGCAAGCAAUACAUAUUGAUUCUAAUUAG
rnacentral:lncRNA from 1 species